rnacentral:rRNA from 1 species
GAUGAACGCUAGCGACAGGCCUAACACAUGCAAGUCGAGGGGCAGCAUUACCGCUUGCGGUAGAUGGCGACCGGCGCACGGGUGAGUAACGCGUAUGCAACCUGCCUUACACAGGGGGAUAGCCCGGAGAAAUCCGGAUUAAUACCGCAUAACAAUCACAUUUCGCAUGGGAAGUGAUUUAAACCUACGGGGGUGUAAGAUGGGCAUGCGUAGCAUUAGUAGUUGGUGAGGUAGAGGCUCACCAAGACGAUGAUGCUUAGGGGGUCUGAGAGGAUAGUCCCCCACACUGGUACUGAGACACGGACCAGACUCCUACGGGAGGCAGCAGUGGGGAAUAUUGCACAAUGGGCGAAAGCCUGAUGCAGCAACGCCGCGUGAGCGAAGAAGGUCUUCGGAUCGUAAAGCU